rnacentral:rRNA from 1 species
UACGAAGGGGGCUAGCGUUGCUCGGAAUCACUGGGCGUAAAGCGCACGUAGGCGGCUUCUUAAGUCAGGGGUGAAAUCCUGGAGCUCAACUCCAGAACUGCCUUUGAUACUGAAGGUCUUGAGUUCGGGAGAGGUGAGUGGAACUGCGAGUGUAGAGGUGAAAUUCGUAGAUAUUCGCAAGAACACCAGUGGCGAAGGCGGCUCACUGGCCCGAUACUGACGCUGAGGCACGAAAGCGUGGGGAGCAAACAGG